rnacentral:misc_RNA from 1 species
AAGUCGUAACAAGGUUUCCGUAGGUGAACCUGCGGAAGGAUCAUUAUUGAAUAAACCUGGCGUGGUUGUAGCUGGCUCUUUAGGGAGCAUGUGCUCGCCCGUCAUCUUUAUCUUUCCACCUGUGCACUUCUUGUAGGUCUGGAUGUAAACUUUCCGAGGCAACUCGGUCGGGAGGAAUGUCAACUUUUGUUGGCUUUCCUUGUAUGUCCAGGUCUAUGUUUUCAUAUACUCCAAAGCAUGUAACAGAAUGUGUCUAAGGUCUUUGUGCCUUAUAAACUAUAUACAACUUUCAGCAACGGAUCUCUUGGCUCUC